CCUUCCCCCUCCCCAUGUCCUCAAGUCCAUUCUCUAGUAGGUCUGUGUCUUUUUUUUUUUUUUUUUUUUUUGCGGUACGCGGGCCUCUCACUGUUGUGGCCUCUCCCGUUGUGGAGCACAAGCUCCGGACACGCAGGCUCAGCGGCCAUGGUUCACGGGCCCAGCCGCUCCGCGGCAUGUGGGAUCUUCCCGGACUGGGGCACGAACCCGUGUCCCCUGCAUAGGCAGGCGGUCUCAACCACUGCGCCACCAGGGAAGCCCCAGGGGACACAGGUUCGAUCCAUGGUUGGGGAACUAAGAUCCCACAUGCUGCAGGGUAACUAAGCCCACGCACCUCAACUAGAGAGAGAAAACCCACACGCCACAACUAGAGAGAAGCUCAAGCACCACAACGAAUGAUCCUGUGAGCCUCAACAAAGAUCCCACAUGCUGCAACUAAGACCCGACACAGCCAGAAAGAAGAAAGAAAGAAAGAAAAUAUUAAAAAAUAAAUAAGAUACUUAUUUUCA